rnacentral:tRNA from 1 species
CGGGGUGUGGCGUAGUUGGUAGCGCGCUGGGCUGGGGGUCCAGAGGUCGCAGGUUCGAAUCCUGUCACCCCGA